CGAACGGUGAAGCCCAGCUUGCUGGGUGGAUCAGUGGCGAACGGGUGAGUAACACGUGAGCAACCUGCCCUCCACUUCGGGAUAAGCCUUGGAAACGAGGUCUAAUACUGAAUAUGAGCGCCUGCCGCAUGGUGGGUGUUGGAAAGUUUUUCGGUGGGGGAUGGGCUCGCGGCCUAUCAGCUUGUUGGUGGGGUGAUGGCCUACCAAGGCGUCGACGGGUAGCCGGCCUGAGAGGGCGACCGGCCACACUGGGACUGAGACACGGCCCAGACUCCUACGGGAGGCAGCAGUGGGGAAUAUUGCACAAUGGGCGAAAGCCUGAUGCAGCGACGCCGCGUGAGGGAUGACGGCCUUCGGGUUGUAAACCUCUUUCAGCAGGGAAGAAGGCCUUCGGGUGGACGGUACCUGCAGAAGAAGCGCCGGCUAACUACGUGCCAGCAGCCGCGGUAAUACGUAGGGCGCAAGCGUUGUCCGGAAUUAUUGGGCGUAAAGAGCUCGUAGGCGGUCUGUCGCGUCUGGUGUGAAAACCCGAGGCUCAACCUCGGGCUUGCAUCGGGUACGGGCAGACUAGAGUGCGGUAGGGGAGACUGGAAUUCCUGGUGUAGCGGUGGAAUGCGCAGAUAUCAGGAGGAACACCGAUGGCGAAGGCAGGUCUCUGGGCCGCAACUGACGCUGAGGAGCGAAAGCAUGGGGGAGCGAACAGGAUUAGAUACCCUGGUAGUCCAUGCCGUAAACGUUGGGCACUAUGUGUGGGGCUCAUUCCA
rnacentral:rRNA from 1 species